AGAACUGCGGAGAAGGCACACAUCCAUCUUGCUGUCUUUGGACAGCCCAGCCCCUGAAACACUCAGGGCAAUGGAAGGCUUGCUUCUCCGCAAAGUUUGCUAGGCAAGACCACCAACCAUACAACAAGCUUCCCCCACUGGGACCUGAGCCUUAUGCACAGUAGAUACUCUAUAAAUGAUUGUUCAGUGAAUGCCAAGCCCUGUUCUGGGCACUGAAGACUCAAAGGAAUAGAAGAUACCACUCCUGCUUUAUGAAAAUUCACGUGCUAGCAAGGAAGGAAGGACAUAUAAAUAUCUGCAACGCAAUGCGGUAGUAAACGGCAACGAGAGGAAAACACAAUUCCUGACCAUUUGCUGCAUCUUUGAGAUCAGGAACUCUCAACCUGUGUGGGAGUAUGUGCAUGUGUGUGUGCGCGUGUGCAUGGGGAUGAUUGUACACAUGCACCAUAAACCCUUUGGCAAGCUUGGCAGAACCUA